UCCUACGGGGGGCAGCAGUGGGGAAUAUUGCACAAUGGGGGGAACCCUGAUGCAGCGACGCCGCGUGAGUGGAGAAGUAUUUCGGUAUGUAAAGCUCUAUCAGCAGGGAAGAAAAUGACGGUACCUGACUAAGAAGCCCCGGCUGACUACGUGCCAGCAGCCGCGGUAAUACGUAGGGGGCAAGCGUUAUCCGGAUUUAUUGGGUUUAAAGGGUGCGUAGGCGGAAUGCCAAGUCAGCGGUAAAAUCGCGGGGCUCAACCUCGCUCCGCCGUUGAAACUGGCGUUCUUGAGUGGGCGAGAAGUAU
rnacentral:rRNA from 1 species